rnacentral:rRNA from 1 species
GACGUAGGGCGCGAGCGUUGUCCGGAUUUAUUGGGCGUAAAGAGCUCGUAGGCGGCUUGUCGCGUCGUCUGUGAAAUCCCGCGGCUCAACUGCGGGCUGGCAGUCGAUACGGGCAGGCUGGAGUUCGGUAGGGGAGACUGGAAUUCCUGGUGUAGCGGUGAAAUGCGCAGAUAUCGGGAGGAACACCAGUGGCGAAGGCGGUUGCCUGGAGCUUUGCUGACGCUGAUGCGCGAAAGCGUGGGGAGCGAUCCGG